AACGCACAUUGCGCCCGCCAGUAUUCUGGCGGGCAUGCCUGUUCGAGCGUCAUUUCAACCCUCAAGCUCAGCUUGGUGUUGGGGAUCGGCAGGGCGUCCUCCGGGUCGCGCCGUCCCCCAAAUAUAGUGGCGGUCUCGCUGUAGCUUCCUCUGCGUAGUAAUACACCUCGCACUGGAGUCUCGGCGCGGCCACGCCGUUAAACCCCCAACUUUUUUCUGGUUGACCUCGAAUCAGGUAGGACUACCCGCUGAACUUAA
rnacentral:misc_RNA from 1 species